rnacentral:lncRNA from 1 species
CGGUGGGAGGCAGUCUGGGGCGUAGUGGAUGCCUGGGUACUGCGUACUCGACCGACCCAGUCAAUAACAAGGUUUAACUAUCCGCUGGCCGUUCCCCCAACUAGACAUCACGAACGGUAGUCCCAAAGACUUCACCUUCCGCACACGCACAAAUUACUGGAAGUGGACAUCGCUCCAGGAUCAUUCAACAGUCUCGCCUGUAGGCACCACCCUCGUGCUCCGCCAAGUCUAACUCACCGACCACUAUGUG